AACGCACGAGACCUGCGGACCUGCGGAGGGAUCAUUAUCGGGAGUGCCUUCGUGGCUCAACCUGCAACCCGGUGUUGUUACCACUCAACUGCCCUUUGGCGGUUCGUCCGCCAAAAGCAAUCUUAAACUCGUUAUGAAUGUGUCAUAAUCUUAACUAAAUAUCAAUAAAUCAAAACUUUUAACAAUGGAUCUCU
rnacentral:misc_RNA from 1 species